AGCGAACGUUAGCGGCAGGCCUAACACAUGCAAGUCGAGCGAGAAAGAGGGCUUCGGCCCUCGAGUACAGCGGCGUACGGGUGAGUAACACGUGGGUAAUCUGCCCUUCGGUGGGGGACGAACAACCCGAAACGGGUUAGGCUAAUAACCGCAUUCGCCGGCGUGAUCUGCGGAUCGUGCCGGGAAAGUGGGCCUCUACUUGUAAGCACACGCCGAAGGAGGAGCCCGCGUCCCAUCAGCUAGNGGUAGGGUAACGGCCUACCAAGGCAAAGACGGGUAGCUGGUCUGAGAGGAUGAUCAGCCACACUGGGACUGAGACACGGCCCAGACUCCUACGGGAGGCAGCAGUGGGGAAUAUUGGACAAUGGGCGAAAGCCUGAUCCAGCCAUGCCGCGUGAGUGAUGAAGGCCCUCGGGUCGUAAAGCUCUGUGGAGAGGGAAGAAUCCCUGCAGCAUCAGAUCCUGCAGGUUGACGGUACCUCUUUAGCAAGCACCGGCUAAC
rnacentral:rRNA from 1 species